GACGAACCGUGCGAACGUUGUUCGGAAUCACUGGGCUUAAAGGGCGCGUAGGCGGCUUCUCAAGUCGGGGGUGAAAUCUUUCGGCUCAACCGGAAAAGUGCCUCCGAUACUGGGAAGCUCGAGGGAGGUAGGGGCGGACGGAACUUCCGGUGGAGCGGUGAAAUGCGUUGAUAUCGGAAGGAACGCCGGUGGCGAAAGCGACACACUGGAUCUCUUCUGACGCUGAGGCGCGAAAGCCAGGGGAGCAAACGGG
rnacentral:rRNA from 1 species